rnacentral:misc_RNA from 1 species
CCCAAAACAGCCUGAGAGUGUGUUUGUCUGUAUACAGCCUCAUUCCAUAUGACAGAUUUGCUUUUAAUAUUGCCCUUUAAGAUGGAUCUUCCUUGUUUAUAUGAAUGGUUUAUUCCUCAUUUUAUGAAAGUAAAAUUUUAAUUUGGUCCAAUGUAAAGUAUUAAUAAAAGGAUAAUCAAGAAUGAAUUGUGUAGCACAGUAUAAACUUUUUAAAGAAUUAUACUUAUAUCAGCACGUGUAUUUGACAAAAUAUCACAUGCAUUGUAUUUUGAAGGAAUGAAAGAAAAAUUUGGUAAUGUAGAUAAGUGUAUGAUUAUGGUACCGGUACAUGUAUUAGAAUACAGAUAUUGAAUCCUUUUGUAAAUACAUGUACUUUAUGACGGUCAACAAACAUUAAUACAUGUAUUUUAUCUUGUGUAGGCAUUGAAAUUCUUCAAAUUGUAUGUACUUUAAUCAGUUAUGAAAAAUGAAAAUGUGAUCAUUGGCAGACCUAUAUUGCAGGGAUAUCAAAAAAAUUUGUAUCGUUCAAUCAUUUCAAUAACUUUAUUUUUUUGAAAAACAUAAAUUUAUGUAAUUGUAAUUGAUUAAGUUGAUUUGUGGAAUUUAUACCAACAUAGAUCCUCAUUGUGUUACUUUUCUCUACAGAACUGGUUUGUUUUGUGUAUAUUAUACAAACAAAUAUGAUUAAAUACAUGUAGAUUACAAAGAGUCUUGUGUGUAUGUGAAUCAGAAUGUUAUAUAAUAAUGUUCUCCUACCAUUAUAUAUAUCUAAAAAUUUCUUAACAUUGGGAAGAAAAUAAAAACACCAGUUGAC